rnacentral:lncRNA from 1 species
UGUAGUGAAUCCAAACCAGAAAUUUACUAGAGACUACUUUAGCAUUUGGGGAUACAGACUUGGAAGAGAGACAUAGAUGAUGAUGGCCUUCCGCCUUCCAAUACGAACUGAUGGUUUAAUAAGCAGCAUUGUCAAAUUUACCCUCUUCCCUAAAGGUUCAAAAUCCACUGAAAGCCCACAAAAGUGAGUACUUUAUUUCUCCCAAAGCAUUGAAUACUUUUGUUGACAAUUCUAACUUUUCUAUUCCGCAGUGUGAAAAACUGAAACUGUUACUUCACUUAAUAUAUAUGUAUACAAGGAGAACAACUUCACUUAAUUCUUAAUUUCUGUUCUGAUUGUAAAAAAAGGAAACUGUCAGUUCACAUCUAUAUCUCUAAUUAAUAGUUGUAGACAGCAACUUGCCACGUGGCGUGAUCAGGGAGAUUAGACUCUUACAAAAAGCCCAAUUCAAGCCCAAUUUCUUCUCUCUUUACGUAAUUCUACUACUACACAACCUCUUCCUCGCUUCCAGAUUUCUAAGAUUACACAUCUACACCGAUUUCUAAGAUGGGCAUUGAUGCUUCCAAGGAGUCGAUCAAAUUUUAAAUUUUCUGCUUCCCACAACGAUCAAGGUGGAGUAUGUUCAAUUUUAGUUUUCAUUGUUUUUAUUGUGUUAAACUUCAAACAGAUUUCUUAAUCAUUCAUUGAUAAUAACUCAUAAGUACAUCCAACAAAUUAUGCACUUUAUCUAAGUUGUUUCAAUUUUUUUUUUGUUAAAUUAAACUUUUAUUUUUAAAUAAACAGCAAACAAAGAAUUUAUUUGAGGUAUAUCUAUCAAAUACGUAGCCUAUGUUCAAUCAACUUAAUUGUAGGAGUAGAGGUACUUUAUUUGAGGAUUAAGCGGAAAACACCCAAGAGAUUCACUUCAGAUGGGGAUGAGGUGCUGCACUCAAAUGCGCAAACCCAAACCCGCCGUAGUUAAUUAUUCAAAAGAAUCUAAUUACCAAGGUAAUAAAUUUUUCCUUCAGAAGUCUUGAUAGUACUAUGUUGUUAAUCUGUGAUCUACUUAGCUUAAUGAGAAUGGGUCAGAUUUGAAUUGAAAGAGUUGAAAUGAAUAACCACCACCACCACGUAGUUGCAAUUUGAUCAUUAAAGCUAGAAUAUUUAAGACUACUGUCCUAGAUGUUGUCUUCAUAGUGACAAUCCUCUCUUAUAUAGACCCCUAAUUGAAUACCCUCCUGAGUCCUGAACUACUAUGAAAUUCAGACUCAGUGAUGAAAUAGAAAACAGUUAAAGAAGUUGCAUUGUUAUAUGCACUUUUUCAUUUUUGUAAUCAAUUUAGUGAGAUGCUGAAGAAUUCCUGUAUCAGAGUUUCACAGUUUGCAAGGCCAUUACGUCUAUUGCCAGUCACGAAACCAACUAUCUGCACGGAUAUGUCAGUAGAGUAGAUGUCUACUUCUUUGAGAGAGAAUUUACACUCAGUAAGUAGUCAAAAUAUAUACAAGUAAUGUUUUUGGAUCAGGAUUGAAUGACUUAAGCACUGGAGUAUUACUUUGCUUGAUCGAUGAAAAUGGUGAUUCGAUAUUACAGAGGAUAUCAACUACUCCAUGGAAAAUACAAUCGAAGGAGCUCUUCCAAAUCUCUGUUUUCAACGAGGUUCUGUAGAUGAGUUCAUUUUCAAGGGCCUAAACUAGGGAGAAUACAAGCACUUUGGGUUGGUCUUGAGUCAGGUUAGCUAAUGCAUAACUUUAUGAUUUUGCUGUUUGUAUAUUGUUUGAUUUAUGGUUUUGAUGAGUGGUAGAUAAAGCUGAAUUAGAAUACCCUCAAAGACGCACACAUUACAUAUGACACAGGACAUACACCCUUCUUCCAUUUCUUCCCCCAUUUAUACAGAGGUUAGUAUCAAUUACUUUAUAUUUAUUUGUUUUCAUCUUUUUGCCUAUUUUGGUGCAGAUUUCUCAAUUCCACUUUAAUGUUUUCCUUACUUCAGUAUUUUUUGUUGUUGAAAUUUCAAUUGAUCAGUAUGUCUAAUUAUUAGAUUUCUGCAAAAUAUUUUGAUAUGGGUUUUUUCCAUUCUUGCAGAGGUCUGUCUGGAUCUAUUGCAAAUAGUGCAUUGAGCUGUUUGAUCUUAAUUAAUAAUCCACAGAUUGGAUGGUCUGUGCGGUGUGCCGAUUCAUCACAGCAGAAGGAUCAACUAAUAAAGGAUAGUCUCUACUAACUUUCACAACCUUAUUAAACCUUCGUCACCAAAAGACAAUCACCACCUUCAGGCUUCAGCCGCCUAACCUAGAUGAGGUAUCUAUAAUAUCUUUAUUUUGUAUUGUUUUGGAAUUAUUUUGCUU